CCUACGGGUGGCAGCAGUGGGGAAUCUUGGGCAAUGGCCGAAAGGCUGACCCAGCGACGCCGCGUGUGGGAGGAAGCCCUUCGGGGUGUAAACCACUGUCACCGGGGACGAACUUCCCUGAGGCGAACAGUCUCAGGGGUUGACGGUACCCGGAGAGGAAGCGCCGGCUAACUCUGUGCCAGCAGCCGCGGUAAGACAGAGGGCGCGAGCGUUGUUCGGAAUCACUGGGCGUAAAGCGCGCGCAGGCGGGCACUGCAAGUCUGGAGUGAAAUGUCGGGGCUCAACCCCGGCGCUGCUCCGGAUACUGCGGGUCUGGAGACCGGUAGAGGCCGGUGGAAUUCCCGGUGUAGCGGUGGAAUGCGUAGAGCUCGGGAAGAACACCAGUGGCGAAGGCGGCCGGCUGGGCCGGAUCUGACGCUGAGGCGCGAAAGCGUGGGGAG
rnacentral:rRNA from 1 species